GCACUGCUGAGGAGUCCCAUACCACAGGACGAAACGGCCGACCAGUGC
rnacentral:hammerhead_ribozyme from 1 species